AGAUUGAACGCUGGCGGCAGGCCUAACACAUGCAAGUCGAGCGGUAGAGAGGUGCUUGCAUCUCUUGAGAGCGGCGGACGGGUGAGUAAUGCCUAGGAAUCUGCCUGGUAGUGGGGGAUAACGCUCGGAAACGGACGCUAAUACCGCAUACGUCCUACGGGAGAAAGCAGGGGACCUUCGGGCCUUGCGCUAUCAGAUGAGCCUAGGGUCGGAUUAGCUAGUUGUGAGGUAAUGGCUUACAAGGCGACGAUCCGUAACUGGUCUGAGAGGAUGAUCAGUCACACUGAACUGAGACACGGUCCAGACCUCCGUACGGGAGGCAGCGAGUGGGGAAUAGUUGGAACAAGUGGGACGAAAGCCUGAUCCAG
rnacentral:rRNA from 1 species